GGGGAUUUAGCUCAGUGAUAGAGCGUUUGCCUAGGAAGCGCAAGGCCCUGGGUUCGGUCCCCAGCUCCG
rnacentral:tRNA from 1 species